UUUUUUUUUGAGUUUUU
rnacentral:sRNA from 1 species